UUUGUGGCUGAAAUCAAGGUCAGAUGUUACACAAGCUAAAAGGAACAAAAUGUGAACCAUAUUCAGCUGUAGAAGAGCAGAAGGUAACAAUACUGAUGUCAAUAUUAUAAUGAAAGCAGCCAAAUAAGGUUCUGCAUAGUUUCUGAUGACUUUGUCACCAAAUCUUGAUUCUAUUCACAUAGAGCAAAUGCACAUCCUGAUAUGUGCAUAAUUACACUUCUGAAUGCAAGCUAUACAUCCUCACUAGUCACUGAUAUGUGCAUAAUUACACUUCUGAAUGCAAGCUAUACAUCCUCACUAGUCACUGAUAUGUGCAUAAUUACACUUCUGAAUGCAAGCUAUACAUCCUCACUAGUCACUGAUAUGUGCAUAAUUACACUUCUGAAUGCAAGCUAUACAUCCUCACUAGUCACUGAUAUGUGCAUAAUUACACUUCUGAAUGCAAGCUAUACAUCCUCACUAGUCACUGAUAUGUGCAUAAUUACACUUCUGAAUGCAAGCUAUACAUCCUCACUAGUCACUUGAAUAGCAGGGGGGAAAGUUUACGUGUACAUGGAUUAUGCAACAAGCCAAUCUAAUUGACAGAUAAUUGGGCCUAAGAGACUAUACUGCAUUAUAUUAGCUACAACUCUUCUAUAUGAGAUUAUCUUUCCACAACAAAAAUGUAAAAAAGCAAGUUAUUUUCUCUUCCUUCACCUCCAAAUGGAGUAAUGGACUGAGGUUUCUCCUAAAGUCUUACCCCAAAAAUCCCAGCUAUUUUGUUUUGCAGAGGGGAUGAAGUAGUAAACCAUGUAGUUUUCUGUUUCUCGACAAUCCAAAGUAGAUAUGACAGUUCUUCCCAUCUAUUCUAGCCUUGCUGAGCAGAGUUUCCUGAUACCUGCUGUAGGUGGGAGGUGAUAGGUAUCCCGUGGAAUUAGUUGAGGUGCACACAAGCUGACCCGAACACCACGGUUACCAAAAAUAUUCAGAUAUAACAGACGCUAGCUGACAAAUGUUUUGGUGAGGUUCUAACCACCCAAAACACGAGUUGCAAGACUUCCAACGAACAGUCAUAUGAUAUAGAAAUAGCAAUUUUACAUGGUUUGGCUUCUGUAAAAAAAAAUAGAUCUUAGACCUAACUCAACCCCAAAAACCAGUUCAUGAGGGGAGGAUAAUCCAGGCCAUAUAAAGAGACCACAUUCCUUAGCCGAUGCGGGAUACUUAAGUCAACACCUCUCCUCAUGCCCAGGUUUGGACAUUAGAAGCGCGACAAUUUAAUAUAAAGAGACCAAAUGAUAAAUCUGAAUUGGGAUGGACUUGACUCUGAUACCAUGAUAAAUGGAUCAUGGGUCUAACUCAACCUCAAAAGCUAGCUCUGAGAGGAGGGUUGUCCAAGUGAUAUAAAGAGACCAAAUCCCCCAUGCCUUAACCGAUGUGGGAGACUCAACAGCAUCUUCAAGAUAGCUCAGCUUGAGGAUUAAGAAAAAGAUAACCUAGACCAAAGACAAUAUAAAAUCCUAAUUUACUGGUUUAGCACUCAUUUGCAGGCUACUCCAAAAACCUCUUCACUUAGCCCCUGUCUGCUACUUCAACCACACAACUGAAAAUAGAAUAAGAUUUAUCAUUUGGUCCACAUGUAGUGAAGUCAUCAGGAGAAAAUGCUUGGAUCUUCAUAGGCCAUGAUCUUUAGAUUAUUAUUUUUGGAGGGUGUUUGGAUUAUGUUGAGUCAUGUCAAUGGAUAUUAAGAGCUUGUUGAGCUGUGACAAGGACCAGAGAGUAUACAGAACUUUGAGGAUGCUCUGAAAGACUAUUACAUUAUGCAUUCUAUGGACUGUUUGGCUAGAGAUAAGCAAAAAAUGCUCCAAGGUGAAAAAAAUUCAUGUUCCAUAAGUAAUGCAGUUUACAAAAUUUAUACUUUGUGCACCAAAGGGUGUGGCCUAGUGGUCAAUGGACAGCGUUGAGAACCAUUUAGAAGCUCAUUACCACCUAAAUGUGUACAAACGCUUGUUUGUGUCCAGGAUUAGCUUAGAGAAGAGACUAAUCCUAUUCGUGCUAAAGAAAACUUGGGAGUAUCAUGAGCAAUUUGAAAUUGGUAAGGUUUUGUAUCAUGUUUUGUGUGCUGCAAAAUAAAAUACAUGUUUAUGUUGUAUGAAGUAUUUGAUUAAAUUAUUUUAGAGAUGGCAACGAAUGGAAGAGAAUCUUGCAUUGUUGAUGUAGGAUUGCAAUUUGCUACUAGUGGUGAGUUCAAUACUUUAUUUGUUUGGUAAUAUCCUUUCGUACUUUGUAAUUUUAUUCUUUCAUCUUGAAAGCUAUAUUCUAACAUCUGGUUUUAUCUUACUUUUUAUUAGGUUCAAGUCCAUGCCUCCUAAAGUUCGGUCACUGGUUUGGGAACAUUUUAUCAUGGUUCAAGACAAUGAAGAAAGGCAGAAAGCAAGGUGCUUGACAUGUGGUGUGAUAAUUAUCAUCCAAGAACUAAUGGGACAAGUAAUUUAAUGAAUCACAUCAAGAGAUGUCUUGAGCAUCGUAUCUAUCAAGAAAGGCUGAUCCGUAAUAACCCUAUGUAUUGAAUUUCGUGAAUUUUAGACUUAAUUUGUGAUUGCUUGUUUUUGAUGAUGGAUUUAUAUUUGUAUUUGGUUGUUGCUAGUUUAUCCCUUAGCGAAAGGCAGUUGUUAGUUGUUUGGCUGCUGCUUGAUUUGCCUUAGUGACUAGUGAGGCUGCAUUUUCAUUUUAAGACAUGGUGUUCACUUUGGCUGACUUUUGUGCUUGCAAAUUUAAGCUGCUGCAGACCUGCAGUGCUGCUGAAUUUUAAGUUACUGUGGUGCUGUUAGUUGUUUGGCUGGUGCGUUUGCUGAAUUUUAAGCUGGCUGUUGCUAAAUUUAAGCUGUUGUUUGCCUUGAGCAAUUAUAAUUUUUUUUUUUUUUGAUAAUUAGUAGUUUAGUACUGUUGUAUUCUUCAGCAUUAAGGAAUGUUGGCCACCUCCAAAAAAAUUACAGGGUAGUAAGGUUAGACUCUAAGCUUUACAGAGCACCUAAGAAAUCUACCUGCUCAUCUACUUCCUCUAUACAAUUUCCUUAGCACCAAGAGAAUAAAAACACUAAGCAGUUCCAUUUCACAUCAUGUAUGGACCUGAUCUUGUCUUCAAAACAUCUCCCAUUUCUUUCUUUCCAUACUGUCCACCAUAUAUAUUAAAGGAAUUAUCCUCCACCAGUUUUUCUGACUCUUGCUACCCCCUCUUUUCAUCCAGCAGCUCAUCAAGUCAGCAGUAUACUCAGGCAUUGUCCACUCAGUAUUUGUGAGGCUGAGAAAUAGGUUCCACAAUUGUGAAGUAAACAUUAAAUGUAAAAAAAGAUGGUUAUUUGUCUCCCCAAGUCUCAUUACACAAAAAACAUAUUGUCACUACUAUUCUCCCCUUCUUUUGUAGAACCUCAUGUCAUGUGUCAAUCAUGCUCUCUUCACCACAAGCCAAGUGAAGCAUUUAACAUUGACGGGAGCCAUGCUCUUCCAUUUGCUUGAGCACUCACCUUGCUCACACUAUUGUCCCUCUUGUACAUUUUUCACAGAGAAAAUGUCAUCCUUUGAAAGAUGCCAUCUCAGUGAAUCAGAUUGCAUUGUGGUGCCAGCGAAAUUCUCCACUUCACACAAAAAGGUUGCCACCCUAUCAUGCCCUUUCCUUGUUGCCUUUCCAUAGGAAGUCUCUCCUCAAUUUGUUUAGCUUCUUAAUCACAAUUGCAGGUAUAGGAAAUAGAGACAUCACAUAGGUGGGAAGCGAGUCCAACACUGAGUUGAUUAGUGUGACCCUUCCUCCUAGUGAAAGAUACUGGGCUUUCCACUGAGCCAACUUCUUGUUAGCUUUCUCUAUAAUGCUAUCCCAAAUCUCCACAUCCUUAUGUUUUUCUGCCUAAAGGCAUCCCUAGGUAUACUCUGUGGGCAGAUUACCUACACCACACCCAAGAAUGAUAGCAAGGGUCUGGAUGUUUGGCACUUC
rnacentral:lncRNA from 1 species